UCCUUGGUGGUCCAGUGGCUAGGACGCCACGCCCCCAAUGCAGGGGGCCUGGGUUCAAUCCCCGGUCAGGGAA